CCUACGGGAGGCAGCAGUGGGGAAUAUUGGGCAAUGGAGGAAACUCUGACCCAGCAAUGCCGCGUGAAUGAAGAAGGUCCUCGGAUUGUAAAGUUCUUUAGUCAGGGAAGAAUAAAAUGACGGUACCUGAAGAAUAAGCUCCGGCUAACUACGUGCCAGCAGCCGCGGCGAUACGUAGGGAGCAAGCGUUGUUCGGAAUGACUGGGCGUAAAGGGUGCGUAGGCGGUUAUACAAGUUAGAAGUGAAAUACCCCGGGCUUAACUCGGGUGCUGCUUCUAAAACUGUAAGACUUGAGUGCAGUAGAGGUUAGUGGAAUGCCUAGUGUAGCGGUGGAAUGCGUAGAUAUUAGGAAGAACACCAGAGGCGAAGGCGGCUAACUGGACUGCAACUGACGCUGAGGCACGAAAGUGUGGGGAGCGAACAGGAUUAGAUACCCUAGUAGUC
rnacentral:rRNA from 1 species